AGACCCGUUCUGGAGUUCUAGAUUUCUGCUUGUGGUGUGUCAAUCAUUCAAUCAGACCUAACAGCAACUCCAGAUUGCGGCUGUCAGAAGCCGUGGCCUCGCACGCCUUUCCUGGGCAACACCAUCAGUCCACCAGGGCAGGCUGGACACAUGGAGCCUGCGACUCUCCCCUGCCCAGUCCAGCCCCUGCUCCACUGCUGAGGAGCAGAACUCACCACAUAGGAAUGUGAGCAGCCAGGAUGGGAGGGAGGUGAAGGAUGAACGGGGAGCUGGGGCCAAAGAAGAGCCCAGCCAGGUCAAGAAUUCCCCCAGUUCUCUUCCUUUGACACUCCACCCUCCAAAUCGCACAUCUGGAAGGAAAAAUGAAUCCCAUAUAUAUUUCAGAAUUUCCAUGAAGUUGAGAAGGGAGCACUAUGGCAUCUUGCAGGUUUUUCUGUUUUGCUUUUAUUUUUAUUUUUUUUUUUUUUGAGGUGGAGGCUCACUGUGUCACCCAGGCUGGAGUGCAGUGGUGGAAUCUUGGCUCACUGCAAGCUCCACCUCCCAGGUUCAAGUGAUUCUCCUGCCUCAGCCUCCCGAGUAGCUGGGAUCACAGGCGCGCACCACCACACCUGGCUAAUUUUUGUAUUUUUAGUAGAGACAGGGUUUCACCAUGUUGGCCAGAAUGGUCUUGAACUCCUGACCUCAAGUGAUCCACCUGCCUUGGCCUCCCAGCAUCUUGCAGAUUUUUGUUUGUUGUGUUUGCUUUGCCAGGAAAAGGAGGAGGUGAAAAGGGAGCCUUGAGGGAGAGAAGACAUGAUAUUGACCAUAACAGGUCCUGCUGAGGAUCCCUGGUGCCCAGUAGGGAACACCGUGAGGAGGAGGAUUAAGAAAGGCACCCUUUCCACUGAUUUGCAUCGCCAUUUGUACAUGGAGUUUGGCUACAGCAAAAUCCGUUGCUAUCUCACCAGCUACAAGAAGCAAAGAACGAAUUGCAAUUCAUUUUUGUGCUCUAGGACCCGGUUGAGGAGUUUUCCAGCUGGAUUUGAUGUCACUUUCCCAUGCUGUCACUAAUCCCCAGCCACAACAGAAUGGGUCACACUCUUCUGCACUUUGGACCCUUUGCCCAUGCCAGAGUUAUCCGCUGACCCUCUUCCCAUGGCUGUCACCUCUUCAAAAAGGUCCACUGAACCUGAAGUAGAUGUCCUCCCUCUAUUAAGAUUCAACGUAUCAAAUCCACCCUUUCAAAGUCUUAGACUAGCACCUGGCAUACAUCUCCUUGCUGACAAAAAAGGAAAUGACUUCUGAAGACAUGAAAAAAAAAAAACAGGGUGAAGACAAAUUGGGUUAGAAUAACCCAUGACCUAGAUCAUUAGACUUUGACUAAUGAAGAACUGCCUUUUAACAGAGUUAAAAUUGACAGCACCAUGGCCUCACACCCAACAGGGUUUGAGGCUGGACCCUUCUUUGACAAACGAUGCCCUGAUUUACGCGCAAAAAUACCCAUCACAGCAUUAUUUAUAAUAUUCCCUGUCCAAUGCUGGGGACCUAGUUCAAUUAGCUAUAGAACAGCCAUUUGAUGAAAUAUUAUAAAGCUAUUAAAAUAAUAGGGGCAAAGAAAUUUUAAAACAUGGGGAAAGCCUUGAUGUUGUAAUAUUAAAUGAAUGAAGGAAUUCUAUGAAUGAAACUCAUUAAAACAUGUCUUCACAGUAGCUGCAUUGAUUGCACAUUUACUAUCGUUCAGGCAUCUUUUCCAAAUGUGAUACAGGAGGGCAAGCUUGGAAACAAGACGGGAACCUCUUGAUCCAUGGCACAAUGCUGUCGACCCCUAAGUUCUUCCUCUUUAUCUAAACCCAGGUUUGGAAGUACACCAAAAUAUUAAUACUAUACAUCAUUGCAAGCUUUCCUUCUUUGAUCCUCUGUAUUUUGUAAAUGUUCCAACACCUUUUAAAAUACACUUUUGUUCUCCUUUAAAGUCUCCCUGAGAGCUUCUAGAAGGCAGCUGCUGUGGGCUCACAUCAUCCAUCCUUCCCCCCGCAAAUGUGUAAAUAAAGAAACACCUCUGUGCCUUUAAAUUAUAACAGGCUAAACUUUCCCCUGUAAGUUGAUACUCAGACCAGAAGUCUGUGGGUAGGAAGAGUGUUGUGUUUUUUUGUUGCAGCUUCUUUUGGCUGAUAAACUAGCACUUAAGUGUUUCCCUUUUCCAAACCCCCAAAUGACAAGUAUCUUUGUGGUAAAGUGAUGGCCCAACUGUCAUGGCCAUCAUAAACGGUGCUGAGGACACUUAUUUUUAGUUUACUGUCUAAGGAAGCACUAGGCUUGCUAACCAGAGACCUUGGGGCCCAAACCCCUAUGAUCCCCAGAACGGAGCUUUUAAAGAGAAAGAAAGGUGAGGCAACCAAAGCUCUUCGGCGGAGCGCAAGCUCCUUUUCUCCAGAUGGGCCAGAAAGACAAGGCAGAGAUCUUACUUUUGGUGAGAAGACUGUAAUCCUCAUUUUACAUAGUAUAAUUUUACCAAAGAUGCUAUGAAACAGAAACAUGUUGAUUCUAUUUAAAUAAAUGUAAACUCUGGCAGCCUUGGGGAGCCAUUACAGCAAUGAGGCUGAUGACAAGAAACAGAAACACUUCUGCAGACAUCUGUUCCUGUGGUCUCCUCAGCAACCUUUUCUCCCAUCAGCUAACACAGCUUCAUUAUUUCACUGAGGAGCUGCUAUUCUCUUUGGCAUUCACUUUUAAAGCAAGGUGCCUCACCUUCCCUUGGUCAAGUAAUUGGCAUGUUACCAAGUGCAUUAAUUCGUUUUCAUGCUGCUGAUAAAAGCAUACCAGAGACUGGGAAGAAAAAGAGGCUUAAUUAGACUUACAGUUCCACAUGGCUGGGGAGGCCUGAGAAUCGUGGCGGAAGGUGAAAGGCACUUCUUACAUGGCAGCAGCAAGAGAAAAUGAGGAAGAAGCAAAAGUGGAAACCCCUGAUAAACCCAUCAGAUCUCCUGAGACUUAUUCACUAUCAUGAGAAUAGCAUGGGAAAGAUGGGCCCCCAUGAUUCAAUUAUCUCCCCCUGGGUCCCUCCUACAACACGUGGGAAUUCUGAGAGAUAUAAUUCAAGUUGAGAUUUUGGCAGGGACACAGCCAAAGCAUAUCAUUCCACCCCUGGCCCCUCCAAAUCUCAUGUCCUCACAUUUCAAAACCAAUCAUGCCUUCCCAACAGUCCCCCAAAGUCUUAACUCAUUUCAGCAUUAACCCAAAAGUCCACAGUCUAAAGUCUCAUCUGAGACAAGGCAAGUCCCUUCCACCUAUGAGCCUGUAAAAUCAAAAGCAAGGUAGUUACUUCCUAGGUACAACAGGGGUACAGGUAUUGGGUAAAUACAGCCAUUCCAAGUGGGAGAAAUUGGCCAAAACAAAGAGGUUACAGGCCCCAUGUAUGUCCAAAAUCCAGUAGGGCAGUCAGAUUUUAAAGCUCCAAAAUGAUCUCCUUUGGCUCCAGAUCUCACAUCCAGGUCACGCUGAUGCAAAAGGUAGGUUCCCGUUGUCUUGGGCAGAUCUUCCCCUGUGGCUUUGCAGGGUACACCUUCCCUCCCAGCUGCUUUCACAGACUGGCAUUGAGUGUCUGUGGCUUUUCCAGGCUCACGGUGCAAGCUGUCAGUGGAUGUACCAUUCUGGGGUCUGGAGGACAGUGUCCCUCUUCUACAGCUCCAUGAGGCAGUGCCCCAGUAGGCUCUGUGUGGGGGUGCCACCCCACAUUUCCCUUCUUCACUGCCCUAGCAGAGGCUCUCCAUGAGGGCCCCACCCCUGCAGCAAACUUUUGCCUGGGCAUCCAGGCAUUUCCAUACAUCCUCUGAAAUCUAGGCAGAGGUUCCCAAAGCUCAGUUCUUCACUUCUGUGCACCCACAGGCUCAACACCAUGGGUAAGCUGUCAAGGCUUGGGGGUUCCACUCUCUGAAGCCACAGCCCAAGCUCUAUGUUGCCCCUUUUAGCCAUGGCUGCAGCAGCUGGGUCACAAGGGAACCAAGUCCCUAGGCUGCACACAGCACAGAGAACCUGGGUCCAGGCUACAAAACCACUUUUUCCUCCUGGCCUCCAGGCCUGUGAUGAGAAGGGCUGCCGGGAAGGUCUCUGACAUGGCCUGGAGACAUUUCCCCAUGGCGGUAGGGAUAAACAUUAGGCUCCUUGCUACUUAUGCCAAUUUCUGCAGCCAACUUGAAUUUCUCCUCAAAAAUAGGAUUUUUUUUUCUACUGCAUCAUCAGGUUGCAAAUUUUCUGAACUUUUAUGCUCUGUUUACCUUUUAAAAUGGAAUGCUUUUAAUAGCACCCAAGUCACCUUUUGAAUGCUUUGCUGCUUAAAACUUUCUUCUAUCAGAUACUCUAAAUAAUUCCUCUCAAGUUCAAAGUUCCACAAAUCUCUAGGGCAGGGCAAAGUGUCGCCAGUCUCUUUUUUAAAACACAAUGAGUCAUCUUUGCUCCAGUUCCCGACAAGUUCCUCGUCUUCAUCUGAGACCAUCUCAGCCUGGACUUUAUUGUUCAUAUCACUAUCAGCACUUUUGUCAAAGCCAUUCAACAAGUCUCUAGGAGGUUCCAAACUUCCCCACAUUUUCCUGUCUUCUUCUGAGUCCUCCAAACUGUUCCAACCUUUACCUGUUACCCAGUUCCAAAGCUGUCUCCACAUUUUUGGGUAUCUUUUCAGCAACUCCCCACUCGACUGGUCCCAAUUUACUGUAUUCAUUCGUUUUCCUGCUGCUGAUAAAGACAUACCUGAGACUGGGAAGAAAAAGAUGUUUAAUUGGACUUACAGUUCCACGUGGCUGGGGAGGCCUCAGAAUCAUGGCGGGAGGUAAAAGGCACUUCUUAUAUGGUGGCAGCAAGAGAAAAUGAAGAAGAAGCAAAAGUGAAAACCCCUGAUAAACCCAUCAGAUCUCAUGAGACUUAUUCACUAUCAUGAGAAUAGCAUGGAAAGACUGGCCCCCAUGAUUCAAUUUUCUCCCCCUGGGUCCCUCCUACAACACAUGGGAAUUCUGAGAAAUGCAAUUCAAGUUGAGAUUUUGGUGGGGACACAGCCAAACCAUAUCACCAAGCAAGGCCAAUUGACUUUCUCCAGAAAAGAGAAUCCCUGAGUAAAGUGACAUGAGGAACCACUAGCUAAUGAAUAGUUUAUGAAUGUCUCCAACGUAGGUUUCUAAUUUCCUGUCCCAUAUGCAGCCAGAUUCUUUAGCUUUUUAUUUGAUUCUGUGAGAUAUCCUGUAGUCUUCUAAUAUGUAUGUGUGUAUGGUACAAAUAUGUGUAUGUGUGUUUUAAUUUUCUUUUUUAAAAUUAGCUAAAGUUGGUUUCUUUUGCUUGGAAUAAAAAAGAAUUUAUCUAAAAUGAGAGUCCCAACAUAUUUCACUGCCUAUGCAAAUCUAUGCCUAGCUCUGAACCAGAGUUCUCCUCCUCACUAAAUAUUUUCAACUUAGGGGUAAAUGGUCCCUCCUUCUUAAACAGGAAGUGUGUAAUGCUGAACUUUAUAAAAGCAUUGGUGCUUUUUUUUCCUUCCUUUUUCUAUGAAUGCAAGCUUCUUACCACUUCCUAACCAGCAGCAGCCUCAGAGGAGUCCCCCACCACAGACAGAAGAGGGAGCAAGGUCCUCCCCAUCACCUGAGUCUCACAUGGUUCUAGGACCCCAUGGUUCUUGAGCUGGAAACCAGACCCCAGUAUCGACCUCUCAGAGACUGACAACCCCUGACAGAGGUGCCUCAGACUCCAUGAUAGAAAUAUUGGAUGUCAAAAGCAAUGCUCUCAACAGCACAAGGUUCUGUCAAAGACAGUGCAAUGAGAGCCAGCUUCCCCCACCCCUAAUAAAACAGGGCCUCCUCAAUCCCAGUCACACACAGAGACAGCCUCAACAUACAUGCCAAAAGGAUGGACAAUGAUACUCGAUCACCACCACUGCCAUUGCUGCUGUUACUUUGUAUGAGAUGAGCAGAGCACUCCAGUCUGAAUGUUUGGGUGCCCCCACAUUCAUAUGUUGAAAGCUAAUUACCAAGGUGAUAGGUAGGAGCUAAUUACCAAGGAAAGGAGAGGAGGUGAUGGUUAGGAGGUGGGGCCUUUUGGGAGGUAAUUAGGUCACGAAGGUGGAGCCCUUAUGAAUAAAUUAGUGCCCUUGUAAGAGGCCUUGAGAAUUGCCUUGCCCCUUCCAUCCUGUGAGGACACAGUGAGAAGGUGUCAUCUAUGACAAACUGGACCCUCAGCAGAAAAAAAAUCUACCCACACCUUGAUCUUGAACUUCACAGCCUCCAGAACUGUGAGAAAGAAAUUUCUGUUGCUUACAAGCCACCCAAUCUAUGGUGUUUUGUUAUAGUAGCCCGAAUGGUCUAAGACAAUGGACAAUAUCUCAUAUCUACAAUAGUAUAAAUAUAUUUUCAAGCAUCUUUUACUUCACUUAUGUAUUUAUAUAUCAUAAUCCAGUAAGGCAGGAAGGGCCAACAACAUUAGUCCUAUUUUAUGGAUUUGGAAAAUGAAGUACAUGCCAGUACUAUCAUGUUAGAUCUUGCGUUACUACUGACAAUGACGAUGAUAGUCAUAGAUGUCAAAUUAUCAGAUCCUCUCUCCAGAAAUCUUUUAAUUUACUCAUUAUUUUUAAGAGAUAUAGUCUUGCUCUUUUGUCCAAGCUGCAGUGCAGUGGCACAAUCAUAGCUCACUACAGCCUCAAACUCCUGGGUUCAAACUCCUCCUGUCUCAGCCUCCCAAGUAGGUAGGACUACAAGCUUGCACCACCAGACCCGGUGAUUUUUUUCUUUUUUGUAGAACAAAGGUCUUGCUAUGUUGCCUAUGCUUAUCUUGAACUCCUGACCUCAAGGGAUCCUCCUGCCUUGGCCUCCCAAAGUGCUGGGAUUAAAGGCAUGAGCCUCCUGGCCCUGAAAUAUCUUGAAAGCACAGCAAGAACAAUAAGAGUUCAUAUUUAUUGCACGUCUCCUAUGUGCUUUGAAUGUAUUGAAGUAGAUGCAAUUGUCCUUAUUUGAAAGUUAAAGAAACUGAGGUUCAGAAAGAUUAAGUAUAUUGCCUACGACCACAUCAUUAGUAAGUGAUUGAACCAGGAUGUGAAUCCAUGCAGUCUGACUCCAAAGUCAUGCACUAGACUAAUAAGUGACACCUCUGUUAGCCCAUUUUUUAAAGAAAACUCCAUUAGAAUAUGUCAACAAGACCCUUAGAUCUUGUUCUUAUAACAUUUAUAGCACUUUUUAGUCUGAGAGUAAACAUCAUACCUGCUGAGGACAGAAGUGGCUCUUCACUAAUAUUUUCAGCUCAGAGUGAAAAGGUGGGAGAACUCAAAGAGAAGAGUGUUUAAGUCCAUCCCAUAGUCCUAGAUGGCUUAAAGGACUUGGGUAAACACUCAGCUGUGAAACAUUAACAAAGCUCCCAGCCUUGGUGGGUUGCUUCACCUGGGUAUGCCAGGCCAACAGAAGUAUCUGUAGUAGCCUGGAAAAUAUCAAGGAUCUAAUAAAUCAACUGAUGCUGAAAACAAGCUUGACUUCCUUCCGCAAUGUGUAUCUCUGCCAUCGCAGUCUUCACAGCACGGCAGACACUAAAAUGUGACAGGAAACCCAAUCGUCUAGCCUAGCGAGUUAUUUUCAAAGCGUUGCUAGGGUGAUGGGGAGGGAAGGCACAUCACAGACAGACAGAAAAAUCAAAGGUUUGAUAAAACUUGGUGUCAUUCAAGUGAUAUCCACAGACAUUUGAAAGGUGCUCUGCUCACAUGGACAACGUGGAGGAAAUUCAAGGACGAUGGUCAUGACAGCCUCCAUCCUCUUUCAGCACCUUCUUCCCUUGGAAAGUCCUCUCUCUGACAUUCACGGCCUCAACCACCAUCCAUCUCCAGUGCUGUUCCCCCACCCCGGAAGUGCCUCCCAUAUAAUUCUGUCCCGCUUCACUAAAUCCCUGGACUGCUUUUUUUUUUUUUUUUUUUUAAUUAGAAAAGGAAUUUUAAAAUUCAUUUUUCCCCACAGCUGUUUAGUCCUUCAAAAUAUUAGUUACUAAAUCAAAACUGAUGAAAUAAUUUAUGAUUUAUAUGCUAUUGGGUGAUAAUGACUUAAUAAAUUAAUACUGUCAGAGAACUUUUGAAAUUUACCCUAACAAUAACUAAUGGAAUUUUCUAGCUCCCUGGGAGGGUGGUACGGUGGAGAUGUUUAGUGCUUCCUCUCAUCCCAUUCUCCUCUCUUUUUGGAAAGGGUCAUGUGCCUGUGGUCUGUGUGUCACAUGUAGACCAAGGCAUUUAAUUGCCAGUGAGUGACCCUCCAGUAUGCUCCCUCUCUGCUAUGACAAUGGUGAAGUUUUUUUGUUGAAAUGAAGGUGUUGUUAGGUUAAAGCAGCCUGCAUCACUGAGCCACCAUGUGGAGGCAAGUAUCUUAGAGAAUCAUUCCAGGCUACAAUGGACUUUGGAUGAAACAGUAAUAAAAUUCCUUUAUGUUAACCCACCAACAUUUUUUGGUCAUUUUUUAUAGCAACAUAAUCUAGCAUAUUCUGACAGAUAAAGCUAGUAAUUUUUGAUCACUUCAAAUCACAAUCCACAGUUUGAUUCUGAUAAAAGACAAAAUUACUAAAAAUUACUUAAUUAACCAAUCAAGAUCUACAUAACUAGAUUUGUUGUGUAGAUCUUAAUUGGCUUUAAUUUGCCAUUCUAAAAUUGGGCAGCAUGUCAGACCAAAAAUGCUCUGCCUCACCACAUGUGCAGGUUGUAUUUCUCUCCAGAGAAAAGGCAGUGACAUACAAAAAAAUGGAAGUGAGGUACAGAGGCAGACUGAUUGGUUACAGCUUGUGUCUGUCUUAUUUGAACCUAGUUUGAACAGUUGGCAGCCAUGAUUGGCUAAAGCUCAGCUGCUGUAAUUGGCUGAGAACAGUUUGGCAGCUGUGAUUGGCUGAAGUUCAGCUGCUGUAACUGGCUGAGACUCAGCUAUAUGUUACAAAGGCAAAUUCCUAAAUUAGGUUUUCAAUUUGUUUACAUACUAAAUUAGGUUGUAGUUCAUUACGUAAGACUUGGAGAAGGCUUCUUAAGCCCAAAUUUAGUUUAACAGUUCCUGUCUACUGUUAGGAGAAACGUGCUCUGCUUAUUAGCUGUGUGGCUUUGGACGAGUUAUUAUACUCCCCAGAAUGAGUCUAUGUCUUCCUCUGUAGGUAGCUGGUCCUUUUCAGCUAUAAGAUUCCACUUAACUGGCAAUCCAAAAUUACAUGGUAUCUGCUCCCUAAAAAUAACUAUUGUAUGCAAAGACCAAGCAAUUUGUCCCCAAACAAGCAGAGAUGUUUAACCCAAGCCAAAUACUUUUUACCUGUCAUCUCUCUGAACAGGAGGGUCAGGAUCCCAGGUUGCCAGUAAAAAAAGCACAUGUUUUAAAAGGUCUGAGAUUGAACUAAGAGGCCACACGACAUCUCAUUAUCCUCUAGAAUUGGUCAUUCUGCGCCUCUGAGUUAUCAAGAUUUAUCAAAUUAGAGCUGUUCAAUUUGGGAAUCAGGUAGCCUUUCUCAAAGUUUGUUUUUUGUCUUUGGGGAAAGUAUCCGUUAAUGUAUGAAGACAAGAGGGUCACAUGUGAAACAAUGGUUCACAGCCCUUUUAACAUAUCUCUUCAAAGCAAAAGCUUUUCUUGGAUGUAUGUGUGGUGUGUGUGUGUGUGUGUGUGCGCUUGCCUGUGCACACGUGUGUCUGGUACUAUUAGCACCCACUGAUCUAAA
rnacentral:lncRNA from 1 species